rnacentral:lncRNA from 1 species
GGGUUUUCACCUUUUAUCCCUUCAGCAGAGCAGUGAUUAUUUCCUCCUCAGCAGUUGGUGGUUUCUUCUUGGAAGGUUCAGCAUUUGGAGGUUGAUCCCCAGCUCUCCUUCUCUUCCUCAGAUAAAUUGGGUUUUCACCUUUUAUCCCUUCAGCAGAGCAGUGAUUAUUUCCUCCUCAGCAGUUGGUGGUUUCUUCUUGGAAGGUUCAGCAUUUGGAGGUUGAUCCCCAGCUCUCCUUCUCUUCCUCAGAUAAAUUCUCCAGUAGAUUUAUGGUACGGUGGAUUGUGUCUGUGAUUGU